AUGGCGACGGCGUCGGUGCACCUCGGACGCUACGUCCUCCUCGCCGGCGUCGGUUUCGCAGCCCCCAUCGUCCUCGGCAACGGCCGCGCCGCCCGCUUCUCCGACAUCCUCAAGGACUUCCAGGAGUUUCUGCGCGAGAAAGGAGUAGACGGCAGCGCCGCCGAAGAAAAUGCCGCGCUCAGCCUUCAGCUGCAAAUGCUUGCUAGGGAGGUCCGACAUUUGUCAAUGGCUCAGACUAUUGUUCAUAUCGACCCCGGCAACAAAGUUCUGUCAGCUUUCAUAGCUCCUGCUGCAGCUGCUGGGGCGGCGGGCUAUGCCUAUAUGUGGUGGAAAGGUAUCUCAUUUUCUAGCAUAAUGUACGUUACCAAGCAAAAUAUGGCUAAUGCCGUCUCAAGCAUGACAAAGCAUCUGGAACAAGUGCAGAACUCUCUUGCUGCUGCUAAAAGGCAUUUGACACAGCGUAUACAAAGGUUGGAUGAUAAAUUGGAUAAGCAGAAGGAGAUGUCUGGACAAAUAAGAGAUGAGGUUGCCGGCGCACGGAUUAAACUCAAGGACAUUGGUGCAGAAAUGGAAAAUCUAAAAAAGUUGGCUUUUAAUAUGGAUGGAAAGUUAGAUUCAAUUCAAGACAAGCAGGAUUGCCAAUUGGCUGGCGUGUCGUAUCUCCUCCAAUUCAUAGAACCAAAUGUUGCGAUGCUGCCAGACCGCCUGGAAGGCUUGCAGCGGCCGGUGGUUACGAGAUCCAUGAAGCAAGGAGAGCUUCCGGGGCUGGAGUUCGGGCUGCGGCUGCUGGCACUGGAACAAUCUGCGAAAGGAGCAGGGCUGGCCCUGCCGCCCGUCAAAUCUGCGUGCUGA
rnacentral:rRNA from 1 species